CUGUGAUCGCACCAUUGCACCCCAGCCUGGGUGACAGAGUGAGAUCUUGUCUCAAAAAACAAACAAACAACAAAACAGGGACAAGAGCUUUUGCAGUAUCUCUUGCAACUCACUUAUUGAAGGCAUAAUUUAAUGUAAGCUUCAAAAGGGUGACUAGGACUAGAAGUCUUUGCUUUUCCCAAACGUUAUUCAGUUUUAGAGAAGAGCCACCUGAUGUUUUGCCUGCAUGUUGGUUUGGGGAAGAAGGACUGAGGUACCUACUGGUUGCAGCAGCUUCAUUACAGAC